rnacentral:misc_RNA from 1 species
GAAAAAGAAAAAUGGCAAUAGCAUCACACGGAGAAGUCGUAAGUUUGGCCAAAGUAAUAAGAAUCAGUUCACCAAGCCGAAAGCGCAGAGAAAUAGAGAAAUGGGAAUCACAGCUCCCAAGUGAAAGACCAAGACCAGCAACCAAAAUUUGGGGCAUGGGACUAUUCUUAGUCUUCUUUCCUGAAGAAAAGUCCGCUGCCGCUGCCGCCGCCGCCUCCACUACCUCCACCGCCAUCGUCGGUAAAGCUACUUCCUGUUCAACUCCCAGUAGCAGCACCAAAAUCAUCAAAAGCAUCAACUCCAAUAGCCCCAUCCUCACCAAAACCCAAUCCACCAUCUCUGUUUGCGUUCUUCUACUCUUUCUCACCCUCCUCCUUUUCACUCUCUCUACCUUCGAACCCACCAUCCCCAACCCCACUACCACCAUUAAAACUCCUCGCAGAUUUCUAUCAGAUAACCCUCCUAACACGUUUGUCAACACCCAACAGACAAAAUCCAAAUUUUCUUCGUUUUACAGCAUUUGGACAAGCAGAUACCAACCCAGAAAUGGCAGAAGAGGUGAGUUUCUCUCUUCUUUUGCUUUACAGGGAAUGGGCAAGCUCUAUAGCCGUGGAACCAGAGCCAUGAGUGAUCUUGUAGUUGCUCAUGUGGUGGAAGACACCGAUGAAGAUGAAUUCAGGCUUUUCUUGAGACUCUUGCAUAGGUCAGGUCUAACAGCCAGAGCUGAUUUAGUUUUCUUAUUCGGUUCUUCCUCUUCUGAGUCAAGAUUUGAAGGUUUGAUUCGAGAAGAGAACGACUCGUUCUUGAGGCUCGUUCAUCACUACAAGAAAUCGAACACUACGAGUCAUGACUCAGUGUCGUUGCCGGCGUUGAGAUUUGAUGUGACUCAGUUUCUGAAGCAUGGAAGACAGGAAAUGUGGGAGUCUGUGUGGGGAAAGGGAAUUCGGGUUAAGAAUUCCAAUGACUCGGAUGAAAGUGAAGGUGAGUUGACUCAGUUGAGUUAUGGUUCGGUGGUUGGUUUUGAAGUGAGUGAGCUUGAUCCAGAGAACUCACUUGCUGGGUUUUUAGACCAUUUACCAAUGAGUUUGAGAAGAUGGGCCUGUUAUCCAAUGCUGCUUGGCCGAGUUAGGAGAUAUUUUAAGCACAUAAUGUUAGUGGACGUGAAAAAACUAUUGUUACUCAUUGACCCACUCGGCCGAUUCAGGAAUCGAAGGCCAGAAUCAGUGUACAUGUCAACAAAACAAGAAACUACUAGCUCAACCAAGCAUGGCAAAAGGAGGAACAACAACAAUAAAAAUAAAAACUCGGACAAAAGCCAGUCCCAUUAUCAAGUUAACUCGGCGAUUUUGAUGGGCGGAACUCGGGGAAUUCGCCGAUUUUCAAACACAAUGCUAACUGAAAUCGUCCGAGUUGCCAUGAGACACAGGAAGGGGAAAUCAAUAACCGAGUCAGCAAUUUUGAGUCAACUAGCGGGCAAUGAGCACAUAUUGAAGAACGUAGAUUUAAUAAAAUUGACUGAGCCAAUCCCAGUAGCGAGUGAACUCAGCGAGUUAAACUCAACAGGGCAGGGGGAUAAUUAUAGGAUUAUCCAACGUGAUAAUGGUAAUCAUGAUCUUAAUUCAAUUAUUAUGAAGCACAUAUGUUCAUGUGAAGUAGAUUCUAGAGUUUAUAGAGAUUGCUAGCUAGCAAAUCAGAAAGAGAAACUACAAUAGACAGGCUUUGUUGUUUCCACAUAUAGUUGUUAUUAAUAUUUAUUUAAUUUUGUUUAUAAAAAGAAUAAUAAGUUUUGUUUUUAA